ACUUAAAUAGCUUAUAAAUUAGAGCAUAAUAUUGAAGAUAUUAACGAGAAAUUAUUUCUUUAAGUA
rnacentral:tRNA from 3 species